UUAGUGGCGGACGGGUGAGUAACGCGUGGAAAACCUGCCGUAUACUGGGGGAUAACACUUAGAAAUAGGUGCUAAUACCGCAUAAGCGCACAGUCCCGCAUGGGACAGAGUGAAAAACAUUAGUGGUGUAAGAUGGACCAGCGUCUGAUUAGCUUGUUGGCGGGGUAACGGCCCACCAAGGCGACGAUCAGUAGCCGGCCUGAGAGGGUGGACGGCCACAUUGGGACUGAGACACGGCCCAAACUCCUACGGAAGGCAGCAG
rnacentral:rRNA from 1 species